AGAGAGUGCAAGCGUUAAUCGGAGUUACUGGGCGUAAAGCGCGCGUAGGUGGAUGCUUAAGUCGGAUGUGAAAGCCCUGGGCUUAACCUAGGAAUUGCACCCGAUACUGGGCGUCUAGAGUAUGGUAGAGGGAAGUGGAAUUUCCGGUGUAGCGGUGAAAUGCGUAGAUAUCGGAAAGAACACCAGUGGCGAAGGCGACUUCCUGGACCAAUACUGACACUGAGGUGCGAAAGCGUGGGGAGCAAACAGGGAUUAGAGACCCUGGUAGUCCACGCUGUCAACGAUGAGAACUAGCUGUUGGGAGGGUUACCUCUUAGUAGCGAAGCUAACGCGUUAAGUUCUCCGCCUGGGGAGUACGACCGCAAGGUUA
rnacentral:rRNA from 1 species